rnacentral:rRNA from 1 species
GGCGAAUGAAGCGGCAAGAGCCCAAAUUUGAAAUCGGGCAACCGAGUUGUAAUUUGGAGACGGGACACUAGAGAGGAGGAAGGCGAUUAAGUGCCUUGGAACAGGCUGCCGUAGAGGGUGAGAGCCCCGUGAAUCGCUGGAGACCGAUCAAUUAGUGCCCGCCGAAGAGUCGAGUUGUUUGGGAAUGCAGCUCUAAGUGGGUGGUAUAUUCCAUCUAAGGCUAAAUAUUAGCGAGAGACCGAUAGCAAACAAGUACAGUGAUGGAAAGAUGAAAAGAACUUUGGAAAGAGAGUGAAAUAGUACGUGAAAUUGUUGAAAGGGAAGGGUAUUUGAUCCGACAUGGUGUUUAGCAGCGGCCCGUUCCUCGUGGAUGGGUGCACCUGGUUUACACUGGGCCAGCAUCGGUUCUGGGAGCCAUAUACGGGGUUCGUGAAUGUGGCCCUUCGAUUCUGUCGGAGGGUGUUAUAGCGCGGACAUCUUGUGGCUAGCCGGGACCGGGGACUGCGGUGACUUGUCACCAAGGAUGCUGGCAGAACGAGCAAAUACCACCCGUCUUGAAC